GGCCCCAUCGUCUAGGGGUGAGGACAUCGGGCUCUCAAUCCGAAAACACGGGUUCGAAUCCCGUUGGGGCCACCA
rnacentral:tRNA from 1 species